rnacentral:rRNA from 1 species
CAAUAGCGUAUAUUAAAGUUGUUGCAGUUAAGAAGCUCGUAGUUGGACCUUGGACCUGGACAGGCGGUCCGCCUCACGGCGAGUACUGUCUUGCUGGGUCUUUCCUCUUGGUGAUCUGUUGUUUCGGCAGCAGGGAACCAGGACCUUUACUUUGAAAAAAUUAGAGUGUUCAAAGCAGGCUCGACGCCGGAAUAUAUUAGCAUGGAAUAAUAAAAUAGGACGUGCGGUUCUAUUUUGUUGGUUUUUGGAAUCGCCGUAAUGAUUAAUAGGGACAGUCGGGGGCAUUAGUACUCACAUGCUAGAGGUGAAAUUCUUGGAUUUUGUGAAGACUAACUUCUGCGAAAGCAUUUGCCAAGGAUGUUUUCAUUAA